rnacentral:tRNA from 1 species
ACGCCUUUAGCUCAGUUGGCAGAGCACCGGACUUUUAAUCCGGGGAUCAUGGGUUCGAUCCCCAUAAGGCGUA